rnacentral:rRNA from 1 species
UACGUAGGGCGCAAGCGUUGUCCGGAAUUAUUGGGCGUAAAGAGCUCGUAGGCGGUUUGUCGCGUCUGCUGUGAAAACCUAAGGCUCAACCUCGCGCCUGCAGUGGGUACGGGCAGACUAGAGUGCGGUAGGGGAGAUUGGAAUUCCUGGUGUAGCGGUGGAAUGCGCAGAUAUCAGGAGGAACACCGAUGGCGAAGGCAGAUCUCUGGGCCGUAACUGACGCUGAGGAGCGAAAGCGUGGGGAGCGAACAGG